rnacentral:lncRNA from 1 species
AAUCAGAGAUAGAUAAUUUCAUGAAGGUCCCACAUAUAGGGGUCGGACGUACAUUUUUUAUGGAAUUGCCCUGCUUUAAACCAUCAAUAGCUACAAUACAUCCAUAUCUCUACAUGAAUCCUCAUCAGAACGUCCUGAAACUUGACAUUGAAUUCCAUUUCAGCCACGAUGUGUAGGAACGAAUAUAGUGUUCAAUCAUGGUCACAAAUCCUGAACCGUAACAUACUUCCAUUGUUUGAAUGGUGUACCACACUUUCUCAGAGACUUCAACUUCAUGGAGUUCCAUUCUGAUCCCUGCUAUGGUGCCCGGGCUAUAUGGUGCAUGCCAAAUAUACAAUGGGUUCAUUUCAAGUACAACAGUAGUUUUGAGAGUGGGAUAAAGGCUGCUGAACCGAGCUCCCAACACCAACUAGUUUAGAAAGACGAUACGAUGGUAUUAUCAACAGUUCAUAAUGUCGCACCUCUGUCUAAAUCCAUGCUAGAAGUCUUGAGGAUGAAAAUUGAUGGAAUUGGGGAGAAAUGCUGUAAAAUCUUUGUACAGAAUGCAAAAUUAAAACUUACUUCAGGAAACCCAAAGAAGUAACAAUUGAGGCAACAUUGAAAUGUAUAAUGCAUUGAUAACUUCCCCUCCACUUAUCUGUACAAACUGAAUUUUACUGUGAUGUGUUUAUUUGGUUCAUGAUCUUGAGAUCACCAACACCAACACAGAAUUGGAUUCAUGGUUUCCCAAUCCAUAGGGGUAGGUGAUGGUGAAUGGUGAAAUUACACAUAGAUCGUCAACACCAGCUGUAACACUCUGUUCUGAAGACGACAUUCAACACCAGCGCCCAACAUGAACUGCCAGAAAAACCCUAUUUUCCAAAGUCAGCAUGUUUUAAACGUCUUAAUUAAUGCGCAUGAAAACCUUUCAUCAUGAAUAAGGCAAUUCAUUGAAAACGUUGAAAAAUAUAGAGAUGUCUUUAUGCGGUAAUAUUGGUUUAAGAUAGCUAUCCAGGUGGGUGUUUCAUAAAGCUGUCCGUAAGUAAAGAGUGACUGUUCAGUUAUCAAGAUCCUUUCUUGUGGUAAAUGGUAUAGUGAAUAGGCGAUGGUUAAGCGCGUAAGAAGGGUUCACCAGUCGUUCUUAACUUACGAACAGCUUUAUGAAACAGCCCCCAGAUUGGCUUAAUACUCUCAUUUAGGCUCUGAUAUGUCAACAUUUGUACAUUCAUCUUCAUUUAAUAUGACAUUAAGAAGGUGGUAUAUUCACAUUUUGCAUAAAUACACUACAAAAAGACUUAUAUACCUUGCACAUGGAAAUUGAAAGUUGAUCGAUAAUCAAUCUAAAUUCUACAAAUAUAUGUAAAUGAUUUAUUUACAAAGACAUAAUAUAACUCAAUAUAUUUCUAUUUUGCAGUCCUCUCUAAUGCAUUUUGUAAAUGAAUUGAGUGGCAUUGUAGGAUUUAAAAAAUGCAACAGGAAGCUGAAAUUUCAAAAGAAAUUAUUAGAUGAAUGAAAAUCAUAUCUUCAAACAUAUUUGUAUUGUACAUAAAUGAAUUACAUGUAUAUAAGUAUAGAGUUUGAAAUUAGAAAUAUCAAUUGAGUUGAACUGUAGAAAGACAAAAUAUAUUUUGUUCAUUUUAUGAAUUGUAGCAAAUUCACAAACUUGAACAAUUGCUCCUGCUACAGUUGCUCUUGUCUUACUAAUUUAGAGGACAAUGGUUUAGAGCUGGGAUUGUAACAGAGUUCUUGGUUCAGAAUAGUGGAAGCAUAUCGUGCUGCACUCAACCCAGGUGAGGUGAUUUCAUCAAAUGCUUGAGCGCCAAUGGCCGCCAGGCUACGGCCGUGGUAAUAUUAUUGUGAUACCAAAUGUAAAGCACAGUAGAGUAUAUUUAUAUGGUAGCUGCGCUGUAUUGGUCCAUAUUAUUAUCUUCUUUUUUUCCAUCAGAGCAAUUGUCGCCAGAACAAAUGUCAUGAAACCGACACAUGACCCUUGACCUCCACAAAACGUUAGUACACCUUACCUUCUCCUCAUAAAUAUAUUUAAUGACUAAUAAAUAAAAUAUAUGAAAACUAUAAACCUUUAUAUUUUGACAUGAUAAAACCAUAAUACUAUACAUAUUUUUUAAAGAGGGUGUCAGUGACGUGUCACCCUCUUUUCAAGACUGCAAUAAACACGGCAUGUAAAGUAUUUCAUCUGUAGAACAGAAAAUUUCCAGUUGUGUGCGAUUUUCGCGAAUACUUAUUCAGACGUAUCAAUAAUACAUGUAGAGUCAUCAAACAUAUUUUCAAAAUUGUUUGGAAGAUGGGCAAAGAGGGGGAAGAUAAUAUUUAAACAACAGAGAACAGAUUGUGGGGAUAUCAGGCGGGUAGAUCAAAUGGUAUCAAAAAAAUAUCCCGUUGAUUGAGGAGCAAUACCUAUUAUUCACCAGGGGGAUCAAAUACCACAUCUACAACAUGAUUCUGGUACACCCUCUAAAUGCUAACCAUAAAGUCCAAAUAUAUUCAUAAUCAUGUUUGAUUUGUUAAUUUCAGCCACUGUGUGAAAAUUCUGGGUCAGACCUAGAACACAUUCCAACAGAAAUUUAAAGCUGUGAUCAUCCUCCAAAGUCCCUUCUGUGAAAUAAAAGAAAUCCAAAUACAAGAAAGUUUUUUCUUUCAAAGUUGGAAAAAAAUUCCUGUUUUUUAAUUUGGCUAUACUUUUAGAGCAUAGAAACAAAGAAAUGUAAUAUUUUUUUUGUGUGUGUGAAUCUAGGCAGUGUUAUCUUGAACAAAAACUCACUUUGAAGAUUACAUGAAUUUCCAGGGAAACGCUUAACCUUGAUCAUACUGAUCCAUGUAAGGAUUCUUGGCCAAA